GACUGGAUGUCAAUCAUUCAGGCUGGGCGGGCGGGGCUGAGAGAGGUCGGUGAGAGCGGCCUUAGCAACCGCUUAUGAGCUGUAAAGACUUGGGUUGGGCGGGGCUGUGGGAGGUGACGCCGGGAGGUCCCGGCUGAGAGUGCCGGCUGGGGAUAUGACAUCUAACUACCAUACAAGUUCAGAUCAAUGGAAGAAAAGAGCAGCAAAAAUUGAACGGAAUGAAUCCCAAAAGCAAGAAAUUAAAGAUGCCUUUAAUUUAUUUGAUGUCGAUAGGUCUGGAACCAUCGAUGUAAAAGAAGGAAAUGCUUGAUGAAGCUGAUCAUGAUGGAGAUGGAAAAAUAAAUGAGGAAGAAUUUUCGAGAGUGAUGAAAAAGACUACUCUUUAUUAAUAGUGUUGUUUUGGUCCUUGUGGAAAAUUAACAAAUUUGUGUUUGUUAUAUAGUUUUGUACUUUAAUAUCUGAAUGUAUUCAUUUUAAGUUUUUAGUUUAUAUGUACACAUUGGCUUCUUGAUGUCUAAUCCAUGUAAGAAGUUACACAUCUCUACCAGUAUGUUGUUAAAUCUACAGCAUCAAGAAACAAAACAUAAUGACUUCUUUGAACCAUUAAUGCAAGAACAGUAUUAAUUCUACCUGCUCUUUUGAGAACCCUAGGUCACAAGGAGUUAGAAUUUUUAAGUUUGAUGAAGUUGGCUUCAUAUCCAAAUGAAUUUGGCAAACAAACCCUGUAUUUUCCUUUUGUGCAACUCAAAAAAACCUGAUGAACAUUUGCUUUUUAGUCAGUUACUCAAAUACAUAAAGUAUUAAAUAGAACUGUCUGGAAACAUUA